AUACCUACCUGGCGUAGGGGAUACCGGGAUCAUGCAGGCGGUUCCCCCAGGGCGAGGCUGCUCCAUUGCACUGCGGAGUGCGGAUUGGUUGACCCUUGCGAUUAUUUUUAUUUUUAUCAGUAAAAAAAUAUAUACCCGAAUAAUUAUUUUCUUUUUA